rnacentral:rRNA from 1 species
CCCAGACUCCUACGGGAGGCAGCAGUGGGGAAUAUUGCACAAUGGGGGAAACCCUGAUGCAGCGACGCCGCGUGAGUGAAGAAGUAUCUCGGUACGUAAAGCCCUAUCAGCAGGGAAGAUAAUGACGGUACCUGACCAAGAAGCCCCGGCUAACUACGUGCCAGCAGCCGCGGUAAUACGUAGGGGGCAAGCGUUAUCCGGAUUUACUGGGUGUAAAGGGAGCGUAGACGGCAGCACAAGUCUGGAGUGAAAUCGCGGGGCUUAACCCCGGAACUGCUUUGGAAACUGUGCGGCUGGAGUGCAGGAGGGGUAAGCGGAAUUCCUAGUGUAGCGGUGAAAUGCGUAGAUAUUAGGAGGAGCACCAGUGGCGAAGGCGGCUUACUGGACUGUAACUGACGUUGAGGCUCGAAAGCGUGGGGAGCAAACAGGAUUAGAUACCCCAGUAAA